rnacentral:lncRNA from 1 species
GCAUGCGUGCGUGCAUGUGUUUCCAGUGCCUAUACACCAAAUGCCUGUUCCCGGAAAUGGUGAGCCUGUUGUGGAUUUGGGCUUGAUUCUUGGGUAUAAGAGAAUGUAGACGUGUUAAUGUAUACACCCUUUUAAUUUUAAUGUAUACAAGCAUGUGUUUGCCAGAAGGGAGGGGAGUUUAAAAAUGUAGCCAAGAAGUGUUCAUCUUUGUUUCUUCUUUGAAACCCCUGUCUGAUUUCAGGUUAGAGAGCCUUUCAUGGAAUUAUAAUCCUGGUACAAUGCCUUAAAAAAACCUCUCAGGUUGAAAAGAUGUUUAAGAGACAGCCGGUAAUAACUCUGUGCCGCCUUUAUUAAGAGCGUGUGUGUUUGAGUGAGUAAAUGAAGCAGUGGGACUAGACUUUGCAUCUUAGCUUUGUGUUCAUGUCUGCUGCCUCUCUAAGUAGAAGUCUCACCCCAACAAAUGCUGGGUCACUGUGCCACCCGAGAGAGUGGCACGGUUCUUAAAACCUCCGUGGAGAACAGACUGUCAUCGUUUCAUAGGCACAGUGACUGGUGGAAUUUUAUUCUCAGGAGCAGACAGCAUGUGGGUUCCUGCCAAUCGAGGGAUUCAAGUUUGAUUACCUAGGUAGAGUUUCUGAGAGAUGACCGUCUCUGGGGAGAAAGGUAGGGUUGAAACCUACCUGCCUAUUAUUGUGAGUUUUGCUGAAGACCCUGAGUUCUGAUAGACUUCCUAGCCCAUGAUCCCAGCUUUCCCCCUUCCCGCACCCCCCUGCAAAUACCGUUGUCAGAAGGAGGACAGUUCUACGCAUUUACUUGGCAAACAAAGAAGCAGGAGGCACUGUGUGGGGCUGAUUCCUCAAGAGGAAGGUAAGCUCCUGUUUUUAUUCACCAGGGCACCCAGCACAAUAUAGAUGUGACACAUGGAAUCCCCAAAACUUCAGUUCCAAGGUGUCUUGUUCCCCAAAACUCCGUCCAGUGGCCGGCCAAGGAACGAGUGUGUUUUGUGUUUUCCCUUUCUCUCCAUAUUUAAGGCAGUUACCAAAUUCACAUUUGUUGUUGUUGUUGUUGUUGUUGUUUUGACAAGCCCCUCUC